GGCGAUUGGCGCAGCGGCUAGCGCACUUCGUUCACACCGAAGGGGUCGUAGGUUCGAUUC
rnacentral:tRNA from 1 species